GGACGAUCAACGGUUGGCCUAAGACCCGAACUUGUAUAAAUAGGAGUCCCUCCCCCUCAUUUGAGCUCAACUCAUUCAUAGUGAAUACAUUCGCCCCUUUGUGCAGCUAAUCCUUGUGUUGAGCAUGUGCGUGUGUAGGCUAACUUGGGAUCACCGAUCCUAAGGCUGCACGGUGUUUGAUCGAUCGUAAUCGACCGACUCGUGACAAGCUAGCAUCUAUGCUGGCGAGCAUUUUUCAUCUACAAUUCUAAGAGAAAGCGUAGCAUCAACCCCCAUUUGAAAAGUCAAGGUGCUUCGCUAAACAAAAUAUAAAAAAUUAAAAUUAGGUGUUCGAUUGUAAAACGAGUUGCCAAUGUCUAGGCCAAAAAUCUACGUAGGUUGAGAGCCUUCAUAAGAGGAUCAAGCUCCGGCGCCCAAAGAGGAGUUCGGACUCGAGAAUGGAUU
rnacentral:lncRNA from 1 species